AAUUGGAAUGAGUACACCUUAAAUCGUUUAACGAGUAUCAAUUGGAGGGCAAGUCUGGUGCCAGCAGCCGCGGUAAUUCCAGCUCCAACAGCGUAUAUUAAAGUUGCUGCAGUUAAAAAGCUCGUAGUUGGAUCUGGGGCUUGAGGUCGCUGUCUAUCGUUUCGGCGAUGACGGUGAUGCUCAGCUCUGCUUGCCGGUGACUGUUGCGGUGUUCUUCACUGAGCGCUGUAGCAGCACGGCACGUUUACUUUGAAAAAAUUAGAGUGCUCAAAGCGUGCUUGUCGCUUGAAUAAUUUGCAUGGAAUAAUGGAAUAGGACCUCGGUUCUAUUUUGUUUGUUUUCGGAGCUUGAGGUAAUGAUUAAGAGGGACGAACGGGGGCAUUCGUAUUGCGGUGUUAGAGGUGAAAUUCUUGGAUCGCCGCAAGACGGACUACUGCGAAAGCAUUUGCCAAGAACGCUUUCAUUAAUUAAGAACGGAAGUCAGAGGUUCGAAGACGAUCAGACACCGUCCUAGUUCUGACCAUAAACGAUGCCGACCAGCGAUCCGUAGUGGUUGCUUUAUGGACCCUACGGGCAGCCUCCGGGAAACCAAAGUAUUUGGGUUCCGGGGGAAGUAUGGUUGCAAAGCUGAAACUUAAAGGAAUUGACGGAAGGGCACACCAGGAGUGGAGCCUGCGGCUUAAUUUGACCCAACACGGGAAAACUCACCCGGUCCGGACACCGUAAGGAUUGACAGACUGAUAGCUCUUUCUUGAUUCGGUGGAUGGUGGUGCAUGGCCGUUCUUAGUUGGUGGAGUGAUUUGUCUGGUUAAUUCCGAUAACGAACGAGACUCUAGCCUGCUAAGUAGUGUUGCUAUUGUUAUAUGGUUGACACUUCUUAGAGGGACAAGUGGCAUUUAGCCACGCGAAAUUGAGCAAUAACAGGUCUGUGAUGCCCUUAGAUGUCCGGGGCCGCACGCGCGCUACACUGGAGAAGUCAGCGUGUGUUAUCCAAGUCCGAAAGGACUGGGUAAUCCGUUGAACCUUCUUCGUGCUUGGGACUGUGGCUUGGAACUAUUCCACAUGAACGAGGAAUUCCUAGUAAUUGCAAGUCAUAAGCUUGCGUUGAUUACGUCCCUGCCCUUUGUACACACCGCCCGUCGCUACUACCGAUUGAAUGGUUUAGCAAGGUCCUCGGAUCGUGGCCGUAGGGGCACGCAAGUGUUUCUGCGGUUUGCGAGAAGACGACCAAACUUGAUCAUUUAGA
rnacentral:rRNA from 1 species